UGAGCAAUCUGCCCUUCACAUCGGAAUAACCAUUGGAAACGAUGGCUAAUACCGAAUAUGACUUCGGAUCGCAUGAUCUGAAGUGGAAAGCUCCGGCGGUGAAGGAUGAGCUCGCGGCCUAUCAGCUUGUUGGUGAGGUAAUGCUCACCAAGGCGA
rnacentral:rRNA from 1 species